rnacentral:rRNA from 1 species
CCUACGGGAGGCAGCAGUAGGGAAUCUUCCACAAUGGGCGAAAGCCUGAUGGAGCAACGCCGCGUGGGUGAAGAAGGUCUUCGGAUCGUAAAACCCUGUUGUUAGAGAAGAAAGUGCGUGAGAGUAACUGUUCACGUUUCGACGGUAUCUAACCAGAAAGCCACGGCUAACUACGUGCCAGCAGCCGCGGUAAUACGUAGGUUGCAAGCGUUAUCCGGAAUUAUUGGGCGUAAAGGGCACGCAGGCGGUCUUUUAAGUCUGAUGUGAAAGCCGUCGGCUUAACCGGAGUAGUGCAUUGGAUACUGGGUGACUUGAGUGCAGUAGAGGAGAGUGGAAUUCCAUGUGUAGCGGUGAAAUGCGUAGAUAUAUGGAAGAAUACCGAUGGCGAAGGCAGCUCUCUGGUCUGUAACUGACGCUGAGGUUCGAAAGCGUGGGUAGCAAACAGGAUUAGAUACCCUGGUAGUC